AUGAAAAAGCAAGGAGCUACACUCAGGCUGCAAGUGGUGACAGUGCCUAGGGCUUUGAUGUGUCUCUCACGGUUCCUAAAGUGUGAGACAGCUGCCUUGUGGGGACUGAGUGAUGCUCGGUCCCACUUUGUGACGUCAGAUCCCCAGACUCCCUUUUCUGCAGCUGCAUCUGAAUGUGUCUGUGCUCCUAUUAGCAUAACGUGAGGAGGUGGGGAGACUGGCCCAUCCCUGCCCACCACGGCCUCUCCCCAUCCUGACCUGUGUUCUCCUCCCUGAUCUACUGUCCUGUUCCAGCAGAGACAGGGCUGGACCCUCUCCAUCGCUGUCUUCACUGGGUCAUUAUGUCAUAUUUCCUUUGAAAAUAAAAUCUAUUUACAAGAGUGAUUUUUCUAACUGGUGCCGUGAAGGGUUGUAGGGAUAGCAAAGGAGAGGAUUCCUAAAGUUUGAGAGAGGAA
rnacentral:lncRNA from 1 species